rnacentral:rRNA from 1 species
GGUAAUUUAGUCUUAUACUCACUAUUAAUGGAUCAUAAAUCUAUUCAUCAAUAUUACUAAUCAAGAAGAGUUUAUUUUAUCUCCCCGUCACCCCAACCAAACAAUUUUAAGUAAAACCCAACUCUACCCUAAAUAGAUUUAUUACCCAUAAUUGUUAAACUCUAUAGGGUCUUCUCGUCCUCCAAUCUUAUUUAAGCCUUUUGACUAAAAAGUUAAAUUAUACCACAAUCUCCGUGAGACAGUAAACACCUCGUCCAACCAUUCAUACCGGCCCCUAAUUAAGAGACUAAUGAUUAUGCUACCUUUGCACGGUCAAAAUACCGCGGCCCUUCAAUUUUCAGCGGGCAGGCUAGACCUCCUACAUUUACAAGAAGCGAUGUUUUUGAUAAACAGGCGAGCAUCCAUUUGCCGAAUUCCUUACAAAGACCUUUCUAUAUUAUUUAACUAUUACAUUUCACUAUAUUAAUUUCACCAUUAUUACCCAUUGUCUUCUAUUACCAAUGACACUUUGAUACAUAAACUAAACCCAUUAAAAUUAAACCACCCCUAAGUAAACUAUAACGUUAUUAUUUGAUGACUGAUUUCAAGUCUACCCCCUUAAGUAACUGAGCCUGUUAUAGUUGUGUCCUUAAGCUUAUCCCUCAAGACAUUAGCAAUUAACCCCUAAAUCAAUUAUCACUAAUCAAAAUAACACUAUUGCCUAAAUUAAAUUCAUUUCUCAGAGAACUAGAAACCUAUAAAUUCGCCUAACAUUUCAUUUCUAAAGAAGUAUUUUUAAGAAAUUUGCCAUUUUAACUAAAUUACCUCUUUAGCCCACUUAAAAUCGAGAAAACAAAAUCUUUCGCUCCAUUUAAUAAACCCUGAUACACAAGGUACAACACUAAAUCUACUUUUCAUUAAAUUACUUUUCACUUAUUUCACCCUUCCUUCUCAGUACUACCCUUAUUACUUAUUUUAUGAUUUCAUUACCCAAUACUCCCACUAAUCUCUUAAUAUUGAUUUACCCAGUCAAUUUAAAUUCACUAACCCUAUUAAUUAUGUUACCUCUCAAAAUAAAUUGAAUUGCACAAUAACUUCUCAAUGUAAAUGAAAUGCUUUACUCCUCAAGCUCUA